UUCAAACGCUCUUUUACGGGUCGAAGUUGCAGAUUGUUAUAAAAAAAAUUCCUCCCACAGUUGCCAAAAAAUUCUAUUCGUUUAAUUUUUAUACGUUUCAUAUUGUUCGGUUACCAUCGAUCUUUCAUCGUACUGUUAUAUAUGCGCUCGUAUCGUACAUUGUAAAAUUUGUGACCACUGCAAUUCCACGUUAUCCGCAUUAGAAUCAGAAACGUCAUAAUUAUGGAAAAUGCUAAAAAAACUAUCAGACAAAGAAAAAGGGAACUAGAAAACAAUAUUGAAAAUGAAUUAUCAGACAAUGUCGAGGUGCAAGAAAAGAAGGAAGAACCA